rnacentral:tRNA from 1 species
GGGCCUGUAGCUCAGUGGAUUAGAGCACGUGGCUACGAACCACGGUGCCGGGGGUUCGAGUCCCUCCUCGCCCG